GGAUGAACGCUAGCGGCAGGCUUAACACAUGCAAGUCGAGGGGCAUCGGGAGGAAAGCUUGCUUUCCUUGCCGGCGACCGGCGCACGGGUGAGUAACACGUAUGCAACCUGCCCUCUUCAGGGGGACAACCUUCCGAAAGGGAGGCUAAUCCCGCGUAUAUCGGUUUCGGGCAUCCGAGAUCGAGGAAAGAUUCAUCGGAAGAGGAUGGGCAUGCGGCGCAUUAGCUAGACGGCGGGGUAACGGCCCACCGUGGCGACGAUGCGUAGGGGUUCUGAGAGGAAGGUCCCCCACACUGGUACUGAGACACGGACCAGACUCCUACGGGAGGCAGCAGUGAGGAAUAUUGGUCAAUGGGAGAGAUCCUGAACCAGCCAAGCCGCGUGAGGGAAGACGGCCCUAUGGGUUGUAAACCUCUUUUGUCGGAGAACAAAACCCGGGACGAGUCCCGGACUGCGUGUAUCCGAAGAAAAAGCAUCGGCUAACUCCGUGCCAGCAGCCGCGGUAAUACGGAGGAUGCGAGCGUUAUCCGGAUUUAUUGGGUUUAAAGGGUGCGUAGGCGGUCCGUUAAGUCAGCGGUAAAAUUGCGGGGCUCAACCCCGUCGAGCCGUUGAAACUGGCAGACUUGAGUUGGCGAGAAGUACGCGGAAUGCGCGGUGUAGCGGUGAAAUGCAUAGAUAUCGCGCAGAACUCCGAUUGCGAAGGCAGCGUACCGGCGCCAGACUGACGCUGAGGCACGAAAGCGUGGGGAUCGAACAGGAUUAGAUACCCUGGUAGUCCACGCAGUAAACGAUGAAUGCUGGUUGUCCGGGUCGAAUGAGAUCUGGGCGGCGAAGCGAAAGCGAUAAGCAUUCCACCUGGGGAGUACGCCGGCAACGGUGAAACUCAAAGGAAUUGACGGGGGCCCGCACAAGCGGAGGAACAUGUGGUUUAAUUCGAUGAUACGCGGGGAACCUUACCCGGGCUCAAACGGGAGCGGAAUGGACCAGAGACGGUUCAGCCUACGGGCCGCUUCCGAGGUGCUGCAUGGUUGUCGUCAGCUCGUGCCGUGAGGUGUCGGCUUAAGUGCCAUAACGAGCGCAACCCCCGCCGGCAGUUGCUAACGGGCAAUGCCGAGGACUCUGCCGGGACUGCCGCCGCAAGGCGUGAGGAAGGCGGGGAUGACGUCAAAUCAGCACGGCCCUUACGUCCGGGGCGACACACGUGUUACAAUGGGCGGUACAGCGGGAAGCCAGGCGGCGACGCCGAGCGGAACCCGAAAGCCGUUCUCAGUUCGGAUCGGAGUCUGCAACCCGACUCCGUGAAGCUGGAUUCGCUAGUAAUCGCGCAUCAGCCAUGGCGCGGUGAAUACGUUCCCGGGCCUUGUACACACCGCCCGUCAAGCCAUGGGAGCCGGGGGUGCUUGAAGUGCGUCGCCGCGAGGCGCGCCCUAGAGCAAAAC
rnacentral:rRNA from 1 species